AUCUAGUUGACAAGUCCAAAAUAGAACGAAACGCGCGUCCUGGAU
rnacentral:hammerhead_ribozyme from 1 species